AUCGGUUUAGGUUUAGACUAAAA
rnacentral:snRNA from 1 species